rnacentral:rRNA from 1 species
GACGAACGCUGGCGGCGUGCUUAACACAUGCAAGUCGAGCGGUAAGGCCCUUUUGGGGGUACACGAGCGGCGAACGGGUGAGUAACACGUGGGUGACCUGCCCUCAGCUCUGGGAUAAGCCUGGGAAACUGGGUCUAAUACUGGAUAUGACCUUUCCUCGCAUGGGGUUGGGGUGGAAAGUUUUCGGCUGGGGAGUGGCCCGCGGCCUAUCAGCUUGUUGGUGGGGUGAUGGCCUACCAAGGCGACGACGGGUAGCCGGCCUGAGAGGGCGACCGGCCACACUGGGACUGAGACACGGCCCAGACUCCUACGGGAGGCAGCAGUGGGGAAGUAUUGCGCAAUGGGCGGAAGCCUGACGCAGCGACGCCGCGUGGGGGAUGA